rfam:Streptomyces sp. 769, complete genome.
UCGAGACUGAUUGCCCGGACGCCACAUUCGACCGAUAAACUGGCAGCGGAUCCGGCCGAGCGCAGCUCUCGGCCGUUCCGCUAAAUGAUCAGCCAGCAGCCGCUGCAACCCCAGGGAG